rnacentral:rRNA from 1 species
CCUACGGGAGGCAGCAGUGAGGAAUAUUGGUCAAUGGGCGGAAGCCUGAACCAGCCAAGUAGCGUGCGGGAUUAAGGCCCUACGGGUCGUAAACCGCUUUUGCACGGGGAUAACACCCUCCACUUGAGCAGGUCUGCAGGUAACGUGCGAAUAAGGGCCGGUAAAUCCCGUGCCCGCAGCCGCGGUAAUACGGGAGGCCCGAGCGUUAUCCGGAUUCAUUGGGCUUAAGGGGAGCCUAGGCGGGCGUUCAAGUCAGCGGAAAAUCGCGCGGCUCAACCGCGCCCCGCAGUUGAAAGUGGACGCCUUGAGUACCCGACAGGCAGGCGGAAUUCGUGGUGUAGCGGUGAAAUGCAUAGAUAUCACGAAGAACCCCGAUUGCGAAGGCAGCCUACCGGGGGGUGACUGACGCUGAGGCACGAAGGUGCGGGUAUCGAACAGGAUUAGAUACCCUUGUAGUC